GGGGGUAUAGCUCAGUGGAGUAGAGCAUUUGACUACAGAUCAGGAGGUCACUGGUUCAGGUCCAGAUGCCCCCU